rnacentral:rRNA from 1 species
AGUUUGAUCCUGGCUCAGAGUGAACGCUGGCGGCAGGCCUAACACAUGCAAGUCGAGCGGUUGACGGGAGCUUGCUCCCUGAUUCAGCGGCGGACGGGUGAGUAAUGCCUAGGAAUCUGCCUAUUAGUGGGGGACAACGUUUCGAAAGGAACGCUAAUACCGCAUACGUCCUACGGGAGAAAGCAGGGGACCUUCGGGCCUUGCGCUAAUAGAUGAGCCUAGGUCGGAUUAGCUAGUUGGUGAGGUAAUGGCUCACCAAGGCGACGAUCCGUAACUGGUCUGAGAGGAUGAUCAGUCACACUGGAACUGAGACACGGUCCAGACUCCUACGGGAGGCAGCAGUGGGGAAUAUUGGACAAUGGGCGAAAGCCUGAUCCAGCCAUGCCGCGUGUGUGAAGAAGGUCUUCGGAUUGUAAAGCACUUUAAGUUGGGAGGAAGGGUUGUAGAUUAAUACUCUGCAAUUUUGACGUUACCGACAGAAUAAGCACCGGCUAACUCUGUGCCAGCAGCCGCGGUAA